rnacentral:rRNA from 1 species
GGGAAGCCUGGCGGAGCAACACCGCGUGAGGGAGGACGGCCUGUGGGUUGUAAACCGCUUUUCUCAGGGAAGAAGAUCUGACGGUACCUGAGGAAUCAGCAUCGGCUAACUCCGUGCCAGCAGCCGCGGUAAUACGGAGGAUGCAAGCGUUAUCCGGAAUUAUUGGGCGUAAAGCGUCCGCAGGCGGUGAGAUAAGUCUGCUGUCAAAGACUGCAGCUCAACUGUGGAGAGGCAGUGGAAACUGAUUGACUAGAGUGCGGUAGGGGUAGAGGGAAUUCCCAGUGUAGCGGUGAAAUGCGUAGAUAUUGGGAAAAACACCAGGGGCAAAGGCGCUCUACGGGGUCGCAACUGACGCUGAGGAACAAAAGCUAGGGAAGCG